ensembl:lncRNA
CGAACUGCUGCACCCCGGGUCCUGGACCCACAGAGAGGCUGUGACCUCCUAGCACGCCUCACCAGCCCCCUUGCCUGAUCCUUCACCAAAUCUCCUCUUUCUUGGCCUUGGAGCUUCAUGAAGAAGGAGGUCUGAGAGCCCCCCAUACGCAUCAUCCCAGAAAAGUCUAGGCCCCUUCUAUUCAUUGGUAUUUUUUUUCCCUUUCAUUCAACAAGAAAUUAGUGCAUGUCAGCAUGUGCCAGGCACGAGCAAGGCCGGGAGGCAGGAAGAGGGGCGGCCCCAGGCUACAGGGACCAGCCAGCCCCAUCCCUACCCCCUCUCCUUCUCGCCUGACUCAGCCGACAGCAGGAUGGGAAUGAAGGGCGCCCCACCAGCGUCCUCCAAUUUCCCGCUAUUCAGCUCAGACCUGAGUAGCAGCAGGCAGCCGAAAGGAUUUGCAGCUCUCUCCCAAAACAGCCCUCUUGGCCACCUCCCGCUUCCCACAUGGGCAAAGUCAGGACCACACCUGAGAAGGAGCCAAUUGGAGAAGACCCACCUUGGACCCUUCCUGGAGGAGAGGCAGUUCCCUGGCUGCCAGCACAAAGGCCAGGGCUGGGCCAACGUGCCUGCAAGGUCAGCAGCCACUUGGCUCUGGAAGCAGCUGCAGAUGUGUGGCCACACCAGCACCAGGGGACCCUAUUGUGCAUCUAUGCUGGGCUGGAAGACUGCAAAACCACUUGGCAGAAGACAUAAAUGAGAAAUCCUGUACCAAGUAAGGAUGAAAAGAAGAAUUGGAAACAAGUAUGCAAUCGGCCACCAACUAUCGAAUGGAAGCAAUAAAAAAGAACUCAACCAGGGCCGGGGAUUUAGCCCAAUGGUUCUGCCGCCUGCCUUGCAAGUGCAAGGAUCCAAGUUCGAUCCCUGGUACCAAAAAAAAAUUGUUUGUGCAAAAAGAACUCAACCCUACCCAUGCUCAUGCCUACACACUCUCGCACACCUUCCCUCUCUCUCCCUCAGAGGGACUCAGUUCCAAGGUGUGAAUACACCAAGUCUGCCCUCCUCAGGGCUGCCGUGCAUGUCAGAUGAGAAGAUGCAGGGAUGGUGCCUGCAGACGUGAACACACUCCACGCAUGUGGAUGAAGUAUCACUUGACCCCAAUUCUUCUCUCAGGGAGAAGGAAGCUCCUGCUGGGUCCUGAAGCUUCUUAGUUUUCUAGUUAGUUUCCUUUUGUUCCUCUCCAAAGCUCUGCUUACCCAGGAGAAUAAUGUCAACACUUAUGAUGCCAUUUUAAUCAUCCCAGGGGCAUUGAUCAUUAUUAUGAAUCCCAAAAUAGCUGAGCUAUUCAUGUUUGACAGUGCGAUCAUGCAGGGCUAUACAUCAUGGAACCUUCAAUGGAGGAUAUGCCUUGGUUUUCCAUGCACCUUCUCAUCUGUCGUCUCACAGAGAGGAGGUAUUCUCCCGAUUAUAGGGGUCCAAAACCAGGGGCCAAGGUGGGUCUGAUCACUCACCAGCUGGAGGACUGUGCUGGAAGGAUGGGCGCAGGUCCCUUCUCUGUUUCAGCAUGAGAUUUGCACACUGAGGGAAGUGUACGGCACCCCACACACACACACACUGUGGGCUCCAUCUUUUCUCCCUAGCAUUGAGGUUUAAGGUUCCCACCUCCUUCCCAGCCCUGUUUCCUGGUCCCACCACCUCCUCCCCUGGGUCUUGCUCAACAAUGACCUUUUGGCAUCUCUGCCUCUCCCUCUGCACAGCUUCCACCUUGCCUCCCUGACAGGUGUGUUCAUGCCCCGACCACAUACCACCUGCUCCAGACGGAUGCCCUCUCUGUUGCCCUCCCUGGCUCAGAUGCUCCUGAAAGCAGAGUCCGGGAUCCAGGCCUAGGGACAGGCACAAACUUAAGUAUCUACAUGGGUUGAAUUGUGUCCUCCCCAAGGCUAUGCUCAAGGUCUAACCUCUCAUUCCUGUGGAUGGAUCUUACUUAGGAAGAGGACCAAGUCCAGAGGAGCUCCCAUAGUGCUUCAGUGGGCUCUAACCCACUGAUGGACUUCCUUAAAAGAAGGAAGAUUUGGACCCAGAAACACUUCGGGAGACCACAAAGGCCUCAUAUUGGAGUAAUGUAUCUAUAAGCCCAAGCAUAAAAAGGAUUGCCAGCAUCACCUGGAAGCCAGUAGAGAGGUCUGGCCCUGACUCUCCCAAGAGCCUUCGGAGGGAACCACCCCUGCCAACACCUUGACUUUGGACUUUACCCUCCAGAACUG